UUCAUGAGUUCUCGAGCUCUUCCCUUCAUACUGAACACCCUUUGGUUAGACCCAUAAGAAGUCUUACCUUCUAAGGAUUAUAAUCUGACACAAACACCUCAACAAGGCUCCUACGUCCACUAGAACUCUAUAUCAACAAUAGCAUCAUUGGUCAUGCAAUUAUAUUACAAAUAAAAUACUCCUCUCAAGUAGGACUCUAUUGAAUAAGAAUGUCCAACUAAUUCGAUCCUAUUACGAGUACACGACCUACCACUAUAAAUACAGGACCCGGGUCCAUUAUUCAGGUACGUCUUUACAUGCAAUUUCAGCAUAUAUCC
rnacentral:lncRNA from 1 species